UACGGAGGGUGCAAGCGUUGUUCGGAAUUACUGGGCGUAAAGCGCGUGUAGGCGGUUUCUUAAGUCUGGUGUGAAAGCCCGGGGCUUACCCCCGGAAGUGCACUGGAAACUGGGAGACUAGAGUACCGGAGAGGAGGGUGGAAUUCCUGGUGUAGCGGUGAAAUGCGUAGAGAUGCGGAGGAACACCGAUGGCGAAGGCAGCCCCCUGGGCUAGCACUGACGCUCAGGCACGAAAGCGUGGGGAGCAAACAGG
rnacentral:rRNA from 1 species